rnacentral:lncRNA from 1 species
GCCUGCACUCCCUAGGGGCCCCUUGUACUUUACAGAUGCUCUGACCGGUCUAAUCGGCCCCAGGCCGGGAGAGGCAGCAGAGCCAUUCGCAGGCCACGCUCUCUGCGCGGGUGCCCUGUGUGCUGCAGGGCUGAGGGCCAAGGCCGAGCCUCUCUCUGCUGUCCAGCCCAGCACAACGACCCUCGCCGGCCUUUGGGGUCUUAGAAUGCAGAUUCCCUGGGAGAGGGAAACUCGUUAAAUGACAAUCCCUCAGUAAAAAUGUGGUUGUGAGCUAAAUCCUUAUAGCCGGUGACGGGGUGACAAGCAGCAACUUCAUGGAAUCGGAAAGCGCGAAACUCCCAAGGUGAAAAAGCCGCUGGGAUGAUACAGAGCCUGCCUCCUGCUGAGAAUCAUCUUAGGAAUUAAAUAGCCCAUACAACAAUCUCAGAGCACCGAGCGGGUGCUGCCCCUAAGGGAACAUCAGUUUGGUCUCACUUGCCGAGGUUCCCUAUCCAGGCUGCCCUCCUGGGAAAAUGCAGUCCGGGGCCCUAGGGAGUGCAGCCCAGGGCGCGGGGACAGGGAGGCGGGGUCCGCCCUAUGGCAUCGCGGUUUCUCCGAAAGGGAAGAUGGGCUUUCUCAGAACCACCCUUAGUUUCUACACUGUAAUCAACCCCAGAUGUGGGGUCACCCAGUGCCAGCUCUGGGGUCACAGAGCUGGCCUCCCUGGUUAGGACCCUGCAGCCUUUAACUCCUUUGCCCCGUUCCUGUAAUCAUUAUGGGUCAGGACGGGCCUGCUGGCCUUGGGUGCAGACGCGGGGUGGGUGUGCAGCACAGGCUAGUGAAUCUGAACAUAACUUUGGAAGUUGAAUCUCAGCCAUCCGUGGCCCUUCAAGAGCCUGGGGAUGCUGGAGUGUCCCUGCCCUCUAGGAAGGUGGAGGUAAACUGAGGCUGUAGGCGUGCCUAAUGCAAACAUGUUUAAACCACAGAAUGGACAUGCUCCUGGGUCCUCCGGCUGAGAUGAGGUAACAGUGACCACCCACAGCCUCAUCGUGGAGCACCUUCUGUGCAGGCACUGAGCACACUCACAGAAAUGACAUGCUGCUCUGUGGGAAACUGAAGCCCAGGGAGGUUAAGUGCCCUGCCUAAGGUCACCUUUUGAGAGAGUUCAGUGUUAGUAAGAAGCCAUCUUUUGGCGGGGAGCGGUGGCUCACGCCUGUAAUCCCAGCACUUUGCACUUUGGGAGGCCGAGACAGGCAGAUCACCUGAGGUCAGGAGUUUGAAACCAGCCUGAUCAACAUGGAGAAACCCUGUCUCUACUAAAAAUACAAAAAUUAGCUGGGCGUGGUGGCACAUGCCUGUAAUCCCAGCUACUCAGGAGGCUGAGGCAGGAGAAUCUCUUGAACCCAGGAGGCGAAGGUUGCAGUGAGCCAAGAUCACACCAUUGCACUCCAGUCUGGGCAAGAAGAGCAAAACUCCAUAAAAAAAAAAAAAAAAAAAAAAAAAAAGCUCUCUUUCCUGAGACAUGCAGACCCUGUUGCUAUGGCCCCCAAUGGUGGCAGCAGGACAGGAGUUACUCACCGUGGUGUCAGGUCAAGGCUCGGGGAGUCAGAGGGUGGGCAGUGGGCACUGGCAGAGGUGACUGAGACUCCCAGCUGGGCCUCCCAUCACACAGCAGCUCCCAAAGGCAGCUGGCAGCCAGGUUGAAAAGGAUUAUCUAAACAGGGGUUCUUGGUUUCCUGGCAGCAAUGCAAUGUCCCUCAGCAACUGGCCAUGUCACCUGACCUAGCUGCAGGAGCAGAGAAAAUCUCCAGCCCCCCCGCCCCCGGGCCCUCAUCAUUGCACCUGGGUACAUGCAUGUGUGGCAGAGGUAAUACACAAAGAACUGACGUGGCAAAUUCUGGGUACCAUUUUACAUUUCCUUUCAUCCUCCAGAACCCUGAUGAGGAUCAGGAAAUUGACAUGCAUAUGAGGCCAAUUAAUUUUCCCAAGGCCACCUAGCAAAUAAGUGGCAGAGAAUAGGCAUGUCUCACUCCAAAUCCUGUGUUAUUUCCAUCCUCGCUCCAUCUGUUCCCUGGAUGAUCUUUCUACCUCUACCUUCCUGGCUGGCAUUGGUACUGGACUCUUCAUCAUUAUCAUAGUCUCCAUCAAUAUCAGUCAACAUAUCUUUAUUAUCUUCAUGUCUUCAUCACUAUUACCAUCACCCUCACCCUUAUCUCAUCAUCAUCACCAUCACCAUCAUCACAUUACCACCAUCACCAUCACCAUUGUCAUGAUCUGUUUAAUGCUACUAUAACAGAAUACCUGAGACUGGGUAAUUUAUAAAAAACAGAGAUUUAUUUCUUACAGUUUUUGAGGCUGUGAAGUUCAAGUUCAAGGUGCCAGUGUCUUGUGAGGGUCUUCUUGCUCGUCAUGCCAUGAUGGAAGGUGGAAGGGCAAGACAGCACAUGUGAGAAAGAGAAGGGAAGGAGGCCAAACUCAUCCUUUUAUCAAGAACCCACUCCCAAGAUAACUAACCCACUUUCACUUCCAUUAUAACACCAUUAAUUCAUUCAUGAAGAAAGAGCCCCCAUUACCUAAUCACCACUUAGAGGUCUCACCUCUCAACACUGUUGCAUUAGGGAUUAAGUUUCCAAUACAUGAACUUUAAGAAACACGUCCAAACCGUAGCAGCCAUAUCAUCACCACCACUUUUGUUAUUACCACCAUCAUUAUCAUCACUAUCUUCAUCAGCACCAUCCAUCACUAUUAUCAUCAUCACUAUCAUCAGCACCAUCAUCACUGUCAACAUCAUCAUCAUCAUCACUAUCAUUAGCACUUCAUUACCAUCAUUAUCAUCAACACCAUCAUCACUAUCAUCAGCACCAUCACCACCAUCAUUAUCAUCAUCACCAUCACUAUCAUCAACUCCAUCAUCACUGUCAGCACCAUCAUCACCAUCAUUACAUCACUAUCAUCAGCACCAUCAUCACUACCAUCAUCACCAUCAUCAUCCUCCUCUUCACCAUUAUCAUCACCACCAUCAUAUCAUGUUGUGAUGGUGAUUAUCCCAUAUUAAAUCAAACUCCCCACUGAUUUCUCAUCACUCUUAAGAUAGAUAAAAACCAAAAUCUUGGUCUUAAUGCACAAGCCCUACAGCAGCCCAUCUGUGUUAGCACAUUCUUACAUUGCCAUGAAGAAAUACCUGAGGCUGGGUAAUUUAUAAAGAAAAUAGUUUCAUUUUGGCUCACAGUUCUGCAGGCUGUACAGGAAGUGUGGUACCAGUGUCCUCUUCUGGUGAGGGCCUCAGGAUGCUUACAGUCAUGGUGGAAGGCAAAGGGGGAGAAGGCAUGUCACAUGGCGAGAGUGGAAGCAAGGUGUGGGGGGAGGUCCUAGACUUUAAAACAACCAGAUCUCACAUGAACUAACUGAGUGAGAGCUCACUUACCACCAAAAGGAUGGUGCCAAAUCAUGGGAUCUGCCCCAGGACCCAAUUACCUCCCACCAGGCCCCACCUUCAACAUUCAGAAUCACAUUUCACCAUGAGAUUUGGAUGGGACAAACAUCCAAACUAUAUCACUAUCCCUUGUCCCUCCCACAUCAAUCCUCUGUGCUCCAGCUCUCUUGCACCCCUUCUACUCGUUAAAGAAUGCACAACCUUUGUUAUCUGGGGACAUUGCUACCCUCUUCGCACAUUUCACUUCUGCUCAGCCAGAUCUCAGUUUGAAUGACUCUUCUGGAAAAUGUCUCCUGAUGCUUAGAAUGGACCUCAGCUCCCUGCUUUAUACAGGCAUACCUCAGAGAUAGUGCAGGUUUGGUUCCAUACCAGCACAAUAAAGUGAAUAUCACAAGAAAGCAAGUCACAUGAAUUUUAGUUUCUCAGUCCAUGUAAAAGUUAUGUUUACACUCAACCCAAAUGUCCAUCAAUGAUAGACUGGAUUAAGAAAAUGUGGCGCAUAUACACCAUGGAAUACUAUGCAGCCAUAAAAAAGGAUGAGUUCAUGUCCUUUGUAGGGACAUGGAUGAAGCUGGAAACCAUCAUUCUGAGCAAAUUAUCGCAAGGACAGAAAACCAAACACCGCAUGUUCUCACUCAUAGGUGGGAAUUGAACAAUGAGAACACUUGGACACAGGGUGGGGAACACCACACACUGGGGCCUGUCAUGGGGUGGGAGAAGGGGGGAGGGAUAGCAUUAGGAGAUAUACCUAAUGUAAAUGAUGAGUUAAUGGGUGCAGCACACCAACAUGGCACAUGUAUACAUAUGUAACAAACCUACACGUUGUGCACAUGUACCCUAGAACUUAAAGUAUAAUAAUAAAAAAAAGUUAUGUUUACACUAUAAUGUAGUCUAGUAAGUGUGCAAUAGCACUAUGUCUAAAAAAAAAUGUAUAUACCCUAAUUUUCAAAUACUUUAUUGCUAAAAAAUGCUAACAAUCAUCUGAGGCUUCAGCAAGUGAUAAUCUUUUUGCUGGUGGAGAGCCUUGCCUCGAUGUUGAUGACUGCUGACUGAUCAGGGCGGUGAUUGCUGAAGGCUGGGGUGGCUGUGGCAAUUUCUGAAAAUAAGACAAUGAGGUUUGCUGCAUUAAUUGACCCUUCCUUUCAUGAAAGAUUUCUCCAUGGCAUGCAGUGCUGUUUGAUAGCAUUUUACCUACAGUAAAUAGAACUUCUUCCAAAUCUGGAGUCAGUCCUCUCAAGGUCUACUGCUGUCUUAUCAAUGAAGUGGAUGUAAUAUUUCAAUAACAUUCACAGUAUCUUCACCAAGAGUAGAUUUCAUCUUAUUAAACCACUUUCUUUGCUCAUUCAUAAGAAGCAACUCCUCAUCUCUUACAGUUUUAUCAUGAGAUUGCAACAAUUCAGUCACAUCUUCAGACUCCACUUCUAAUUCUAGCUCUCUUGCUAAUUCCACCACAUCUGCAGUUACUUCCCCCACUGAAGUCUUGAACCUCUCAAAGUUAUCUAUGGGGGUUGAAAACAACUUCUUCCAAACACCUGUUAAUGUUGACAUUUUGAAUUCCUACCAUGAAUAAUGAAUGUUCCUAUUGGCAUUUAAAAUGGUAAAUUCUUUCCAGACAGUUUUCGAUUUACUUUGCCCAGAUCCAUCACAGGAAUCACUAUUUAUGGCAGCUAUAGCCUUAUGAAAUGUAUUUCUUAAUAAGACAAAAGUUGAAAUUACUUAUUGGUCCAUGGGCUGAAAAAUGAAUGUUGUGUUAGCAAGCACAUAAACCUUAACCUCCUUAUAUACAUCUCCACCAGAGCUCUUAGGUGCCUUGUCAAUGAGCAGUAAUAUUUUGAAAGGAAUCUUUUUUUCUGAGAAGUAGGUCUCAACAGUGGGCUUAAAAUAUUCAGUAAACCGUUCUGUAAACAGAUGUGCUCUCACCCAGGCUUUAUUGUUGCAUUGAUAGAGCACAGGCAGAGUAGAUUUAGCAUAAUUCUUAAGGGCCCUCUGAUUUUCAGAAUGAUAAAUAAGCAUUGGCUUCAACUUAACAUCACCAGCUGCAUUAACUCCUAACAAGAGAGUCAGUCUGUUAUUUUGAAACUUUGAAGCCAGACAUUGACUUCUGCUCUCUAGCUAUGAAAGUCCUAGAUGGCAUCUUCUUUCUUUUUUUUUUGUUUUUUGUUUGUUUGUUUGUUUGUUUGUUUGUUUGUUUUGACAGAGUCUCACUUGUCAUGCAGGCUGGAGUGCAGUGGUGUAAUCACAGCUCACUGCAGCCUUGACUUCCCAGGCUCAGGUGAUUCUCCCAUCUCAGCCUCCCUAGUAGCUGGGACUACAGGCAUGCAUCACCAUGCCUAGCCAUUUUUUUUUUUUAUUUUAGUAGAGAAGGAGUUUCUCCAUGUUGCUCAGGCUGGCAGCAUCUUCUUUCGAUAGAAAGCUGUUUCAUCUACGUGGAAAAUUUGUUGUUUAGUGUAGCCACCUUCAUCAGUUAUUAUGGUACAUACCUUGUAUGCACUAAGGUAUGCCUGUACUCAUAUAUUGCCCUUUAUUCCUCUUACACCAUUUACUACAAUUUUUCUUAAUGUUUAAUGUUAUGCCUAACCUUGCUAUCAGGAUCAGCUCCAUGAAGGCAGGGGCUGUGUCUGUCCUGCCCACUGGUGUACCCUCAGUGCCUAUUGUGCAGAGAGGCAAAUGCCAGACUGAAGAUUAUUAAACGGCUUGUCUUUAAGGCCAGCGGAUUUAGAUGGGGGGAAAAGAUGAAGAGGAAAUCUGAGGCCAAAGACUCAGUUUGAGCAGAGGCCAGGGCCACGCCAUGGCAUUUCACAUGGGCUUCCUUGGCUGUGACAGGAAGGUGGAGAGAAGCAACUUAAACUGCAGAGCAACAAGACUAAACUCAGCAUCUGCAAGGACAGAGUGAACAUCCAGGUAGACGAUGGGCUAGAGGAGUCCUGGAAGCAGAGGGAAGUGUCCUUGUGAUGGGCCAGAGGUAGGGAAGAGGAGUGCUCCUCCAAAGCCAGGUUUUAAAUUGAUCAGGAGUGUCAGAGGUAUGGUGCUUUUCUGGAACACUCCUCGAGAUCUGAGAGAUCUUGAGCAUAUUGACAUCAUUGCAAUUAGAUUUCCAAUCCAUAUCAAAGGAUAUUGGAAUGUUGCUGCAUCUCUUGGUUAAACCUGGAUUUUAAAAAAUAAUUAAGUAAUAUAUACUGCUAAAGAUAAACUAAUUCUGACAGCUCCCAUAGUCCCCCAAUAUUUCUCCCUCCUUUCUUUCAAUUUCUGGCUAGACCCCCUCUACCACACUGAGCUCCUUGCCAGGCUGGGUCUCUUUGGCCCUGUGCCCCAGUCCCACUUCACAUGGUGGCUGCUGGCUCAGAGCGGUGCCCAGUCAGUUCUGGAAAGGAUAAAUAUAAUGAUUGUAUGCACCUGGGGGCGCUGGCAAGGAUGAUAAUGGUGUUUGGUCCUUCUUCCUGGCAUGCAACUGGCCUGCCUCCUGCUCCUCCUAGUGUGCGUAGGCUCUCCUCCUACACACACUAGCAUCUCUAUCACCCUUCUCCUCAUGGCAGAGUGACUUUUUAUUUAUCCACUGACUUGAGUGGUGGAGUUUAUUUUAUUGGAUUUUGGCACACAUGUGAAGCCUUUGAAAAGCCUCUUUAGUCGAUGACCAUAUUUCUCUUCUGACCACCAUGUCCACCCCCCACUGAAGCCUCCUGAAGGUCCAUGAAGUCUGGAUGAUAAUUAAAGUCAUCGCAGCUGGUGUCCUGGUCUGCAAAGCCCUGUGGCUACCCUCCCUGCAGGGCGGCAGCUGCCCCACCCACUGUCCUCUGCUCAGCACACCCCGCCCAUGCCCAGCCCAGAGUCCACCCACGCGCUGCCCCUCUGCCUGGAGCACUCCUGCAGGUCCCGGCCUGUUGUGUUCACUUAACUUUAAAGAUUAAUUGGCAGGGUGCGGUGGCUCACGCCUGUGAUCCCAGCACUUAAGGAGGCUGAGGUGGGUGGAUCACAAGGUUAGGAAAUCAAGACCAUCCUGGCCAACAUGGUGAAACCCCCUCUCUACCAAAAAUACAAAAAUUAGCUGGAUGUGGUGGCGCGUGCCUGUAAUCCCAGCUACUCGGGAGGCCGAGGCAGGAGAAUCACUUGAACCAGGGUGUCGAAGGUUACAGUGUGUGCACCC